UCUAAAAUGGCAGACAGAAUGCCCAAGAUUUAAGCUCUUGUAAUGAAGAUUCUCUUCUUUUAGAA
rnacentral:tRNA from 1 species